AAGUCGUAACAAGGUUUCCGUCGGUGAACCUGCGGAAGGAUCAUUAACACGUAUCCAAACGUUAAAACCCCCCCCGUGAACCUUCAUCCUGCUCUUGUAACCCGCGUAGUUCGCAAUCUCUGAUAAAUCAUAGCCCGGAAAGUUGUAGUGAUUCAGAGACCUCUGGCUACGUGCGAACAUUAUAGGCAAUGUUUCCCCAAGCAGUCAGUGUCGGAAAGUGUCAUUGAUUGUGCAAGGAUAGCGCUUCUACGAUUCCUGUAGACCGUACACUCGGGCAGGAGCUUUGCCAAAGGGUCCUAAUAACCCCACAGUUUAAUGUGAAGCUCAAUGUAAUACAUUGGGUAAAAAAACCGAACAACUAUUAACAAUGGAUAUCUUGGUUCUC
rnacentral:misc_RNA from 1 species